rnacentral:rRNA from 1 species
CACGUAGGGGGCGAGCGUUGUCCGGAUUUAUUGGGCGUAAAGAGCUCGUAGGCGGUUCGGCAAGUCGGGUGUGAAAUUUCGAGGCUCAACCUCGAAACGCCACUCGAUACUGCUGUGACUGGAGUCCGGUAGAGGAGUGCGGAAUUCCUGGUGUAGCGGUGAAAUGCGCAGAUAUCAGGAGGAACACCAACGGCGAAGGCAGCACUCUGGGCCGGUACUGACGCUGAGGAGCGAAAGCUAGGGGAGCAAACGGG